rnacentral:rRNA from 1 species
AUUGAACGCUGGCGGCAGGCCUAACACAUGCAAGUCGAGCGGAUGAAGGGAGCUUGCUCCUGGAUUCAGCGGCGGACGGGUGAGUAAUGCCUAUGAAUCUGCCUGGUAGUGGGGGAUAACGUCCUGAAACGGGCGCUAAUACCGCAUACGUCCUGAGGGAGAAAGUGGGGGAUCUUCGGACCUCACGCUAUCAGAUGAGCCUAGGGCGGAUUAGCUAGUUGGUGGGGUAAAGGCCUACCAAGGCGACGAUCCGUAACUGGUCUUAGAGGAUGAUCAGUCACCCUGGAACUGAGACACGGUCCAGACUCCUACGGGAGGCAGCAGUGGGGAAUAUUGGACAAUGGGCGAAAGCCUGAUCCAGCCAUGCCGCGUGUGUGAAGAAGGUCUUCGGAUUGUAAAGCACUUUAAGUUGGGAGGAAGGGCAGUAAGUUAAUACCUUGCUGUUUUGACGUUACCAAAAGAAUAAGCACCGGCUAACUUCGUG